ensembl:lncRNA
CUAAUGUUUACCGAUGCGCCAGAAAGAAUGAGACAGAAUUGUAAGUCAUGUUAUGAUUCGGUCAUCGAUUAGGUCAUUCACUUUCUGUAAACGAGAAAUAGUUUCAGUGAGGUCAUGUUUUCCAGUAUAAAGGACCUGAGCCCUAGGACCAUGCCCCAGGACUACCUGACAUGAUGACUCCUUGCUGUCCCCAGUCCACCUGACCGUGCUGCUGCUCCAGUUUCAACUGUUCUGCCUUAUUAUUAUUCGACCAUGCUGGUCAUUUAUGAACAUUUGAACAUCUUAGCCAUGUUCUGUUAUAAUCUCCAUCCGGCACAGCCAGAAGAGGACUGGCCACCCCACAUAGCCUGGUUCCUCUCUAGGUUUCUUCCUAGAUUUUGGCCUUUCUAGGGAGUUUUACAAAACUUUACAGUUGGCACUAUGCAUUGGAGCAGGUAGCAUUCUCCUGGCAUCCGCCAAACCCAGAUUCAUCCAUCGCACUGCUAGAUGGUGAAGAGUGAUUCAUCACUCCAGAGAACGCGUUUCCACUGUUCCAGAGGCCAAUGGCGGAGAGCUUUACAACACUCCAGCCGACGCUUGGCAUUGCGUAUGAUGAUGUUAGCCUUGUGUGCGGCUGCUCCGCCAUGGAAACCCAUUUCAUGAAGCUCCCGACGAACAGUUCUUGUGCUGAAGUUGCUUCAAGAGGCAGUUUGGAACUCGGUAGUUAGUGUUGCAACCGAGGACAGACAAUUUUUUUUGCCGGCUACGCACUUCAGCACUCAGCGGUCCCAUUCUGUCAGCUGGUGUGGCCUACGACUUUACUGCUGAGCCGAUGUUGCUCCUAGACGUUUCCACUUCACAAUAACAGCACUAACAGUUGACUGGGGCAGCUCUAGCAGGGCAUACAUUUGGCAAACUGACUUGUUGGAAAGGUGGCAUCCAAUGACUUUGAAAUUCACAGGCCAUUCUUCUGCCAAUGUUUGCCAAUUGAGAUUGCAGGUCUGUGUGCCCGAUUUUAUACACCUGUCAGCAAUGGGUGUGGCUGAAAUUGCCAAAUUUCCUAAUUUGAAUGGGGUUCCAUAAACUUUUGUCCAUGUAGUGUAUUACAAGGUACUGUAUGUACUGACAUACACUGAGUGUACAAAACAUUAGGAACACCUGCUCUUUCCAUGACAUAGACUGAUCAGGUGAAAACUAUGAUCCCUUAUUGAUGUCACCUGUUAAUCCACUUUAAUCAGCGUAGCUGAUGGGAGGAGACAGGUGAAAUAAUCAUUUUUAAGCUUUGAGACAAUUGAGACAUGGAUUGUUUAUGUGUGCCAUUCAGGGGGUGAGUGGGCAAGAAAAAAUAUUUAAGCGCUUUUAAAUGGGGUAUGGUAGUAGGUGCCAAGCACACCGGUUUGAGUGUGUCAAGAACUGCAACGCUGCUGGGUUUUUCACGCUCAACAGUUUCCUGUGUGUGAUCCACCACCCAAAGGACAACCAGCCAACUUGACACAACUGUGGGAAGCAUUAGUCCAGAGUCAAAAUGGGCCAGCAUCCCCAUGGAACACUUUUGAAACCUUGCAGAGUUCAUGCCCUGACAAAUUGUGGCUGUUCUGAGGGCAAAAGGUGUUCCUAAUAUUUGGUAUACUCAGUGUAUAUGGAAGUUGUUUAGACCAGGGAGGUUUUCCAAUGCCUUGCAAAGUAGGGCACCUAUAGGUAGAUGGGAUUUUUUUUUUUAAUAGACAUUGAAUAUCCCUUUGAGCAUAGUGAAGUUAUUAAUUACACUUUGGAUGGUGUAUCAAUACACCCAGUCACUACAAAGAUACAGGCAUCCUUCCUAACUCAGUUGCCAGAGGGGAAGGAAACCACUCAGGUAUUUCACAAUGAGGCCAAUGGUGACUUUAAAACAGUCACAGAGUUUAAUGGCGGUGGUGAGAGAAAACUAAGGAUGGGUCAACAACAUUGUAGUUACUCCUCAAUACUAACCUAAUUGACAGAGUGAAAAGAAGAAAGCCUGUACAGAAUAAAAAAUAUUUCCAAACAUACAUCAUUUUUGUAACAAGCCAGUAAAGUCAUACUGAAACAAAAUUGGCAAAGCAAUUCCCUUUUUCUCCUGAAUGCAAAGUGUUAUGUCUGGGGCAAAUCCAGUACAACACAUUACUUAGUACCAGUCUCCAUAUUUUCAAGCAUAGUGGUGGCUGCAUCAUGUUAUGGGUAUGUUUGUAAUCAUUAAGGACUGAGGAGUUUUUCAGGAUAAAAAAUAAACGUAAUGGAGCUAAGAACAGUCAAAAUCCUAGAGGAAAAUAUGGUUCAGUCUGCUUUUCAACAGACACUGGGAGAUGAAUUCACCUUUCAGUAGGACAAUAACCUGAAACACAAGGCUAAAUCUACACUGGAGUUGCUUACCAAGAAGACAGUGAAUGUUUCUGAGUAACCGAGUAACAGUUAUGACUUAAAUCUACUUGAAAAUGUAUGGCAAGACCUGAAAAUGGUUGUCUAGCGAUGAUGAUCAUCAACAAAUUUGACAGAGCUUGAAGAAUAAUUGGAAAAUGUUGCACAAUCCGGUCUGGAAAGCUCUUAGAGACGUACCCAGAAAGACAGCUGUAAUCGCUGCCAAAAGUGCGUCUACAAAGUUUUGACUCAAUGGUGUGAAUACUUAUGUAAAUGGAAUAUUUCCGUAUUUAGUUUUUAAAUACAUUUGCUAAAAUGUAUAAAAACAUGUUUUCUUUUUGUCAUUAUGGGGUACUGUGUGUAGAUGGGUAAAAAAAGCAAACAAUUGGAUCCAUUUUGAAUUCAGGAUGUAACACAACAAAAUGUGGUAUAAGUCAAGGGAUGAAUACUUUCUGAAGGCGCUGUAUGUAUCUCUAGUGUCAUGACGUUGGCCUCUUUGGGUAUAGCAACCCCAUCCCCCUCUCCCUGCCUCCCCCCCUUGCCUCCUUCAACUAGGCUGCUGUGGUCAGAGGUCGUAAAUUCCUGAGAAGAACCUGCCACAUGGCCACAUAGUAGAGAGAGGGUACACUUUCAUAGAGGGCAAAGGAAAUCCUUCCACCUCACAGAACUUGAGGUACAAACACAUUUCAUGUUCCGGAGAAAGUGUAAAAGAUCGGUGAAGAAUCCAGCUACGAACUGGUCCGUUUGUCACAACUUGGGGAAGCUCAUGGGAGACGGUGUGGCCACAUUACCAUAACGCUGUUUAUAUAAUAGCCUCAGAUAUGAGGUUUACAUCUAAUUGUUGUAUAAGAUGAAUGAGUGAGUAUGAUACUGUUUGUAUAAUUGUGUAAUAUGAUUGUGGACUGUUUAAUGAAGAAAAAUACAAUUCCCUUUUGAUUUGAACUAAAUCAGAGGACCGCUCGACAGAAUAAGAACAAGUCUUUGAUACUAAUUACUAGUCUGCAGUUAGGAAUUCGGUAUCAUUCAACGCGAACAACGACAUCAUCCAUUCUAUAACGAAUGUCACUUUGAACUAUCCCCUCUAACCAAGACAGAGAGAGGGAGAGAGACGGACAAUUCUACGAAAGACACAAACUUUUCACCAGCGACCAAGACGACACACUGAGCGUAAAUAUAUGUAUUGAUUGCAAUUGUUCCCGAAUGAAUGAGCGUUCAUGUGUAAAGGAUUCGUAUUUUAAUUGUUGUAAUUAUCACUCUGUAGUGACUUAUUAGUCGACCCCUACUUCCCCUUUUUGUCUAACAAGCCGCCAUGCCGGUUUAGCCCACUAGGGCGCAUUUUCCUAUCAUUACAUUUACCUUGUUUGUUUGUUUGUUUAUGCAUUUCUGUGAAUGACUUAGUAAUAAAUAAAUGAUUUAAGACAAUUGAUGUAUGGAUGACUCAUAGUGAAGACUGGGGUCGUGCAGAUAACCAACAAUUUCGACGUUUGGAAUGAGACUAACGUGAGGUACAG